CCAUGUUUAAAUUAAUCCAGAAAAACGGGUACCCACUUUUCCUUUUAUGGUUUUUUUUUCUCUGCUCAGAUUGAACGCUGGCGGCAGGCCUAACACAUGCAAGUCGAGCGGUAACAGGGGUAGCUUGCUACCCGCUGACGAGCGGCGGACGGGUGAGUAAUGCAUAGGAAUCUGCCCGAUAGUGGGGGAUAACCUGGGGAAACCCAGGCUAAUACCGCAUACGUCCUACGGGAGAAAGGGGGCUCCGGCUCCCGCUAUUGGAUGAGCCUAUGUCGGAUUAGCUAGUUGGUGAGGUAAAGGCUCACCAAGGCGACGAUCCGUAGCUGGUCUGAGAGGAUGAUCAGCCACAUCGGGACUGAGACACGGCCCGAACUCCUACGGGAGGCAGCAGUGGGGAAUAUUGGACAAUGGGCGAAAGCCUGAUCCAGCCAUGCCGCGUGUGUGAAGAAGGCCCUCGGGUUGUAAAGCACUUUCAGCGAGGAAGAACGCCUAGUGGUUAAUACCCAUUAGGAAAGACAUCACUCGCAGAAGAAGCACCGGCUAACUCCGUGCCAGCAGCCGCGGUAAUACGGAGGGUGCAAGCGUUAAUCGGAAUUACUGGGCGUAAAGCGCGCGUAGGUGGCUUGAUAAGCCGGUUGUGAAAGCCCCGGGCUCAACCUGGGAACGGCAUCCGGAACUGUCAAGCUAGAGUGCAGGAGAGGAAGGUAGAAUUCCCGGUGUAGCGGUGAAAUGCGUAGAGAUCGGGAGGAAUACCAGUGGCGAAGGCGGCCUUCUGGACUGACACUGACACUGAGGUGCGAAAGCGUGGGUAGCAAACAGGAUUAGAUACCCUGGUAGUCCACGCCGUAAACGAUGUCGACCAGCCGUUGGGUGCCUAGCGCACUUUGUGGCGAAGUUAACGCGAUAAGUCGACCGCAUGGAGACGCCGACUUUGU
rnacentral:rRNA from 1 species